ensembl:snRNA U6 U6 spliceosomal RNA
GUGCUCGCUUCAGCAGCACAUAUACUAAAACUGGAACGAGGCAGAGAAGAUUAGCAUGGCCCUGCGCAAGGAUGGCUUGGAAAUUUAUGAAGCAUUUCAUAUUAAA